GGGGGUGUAGCUCAGUGGCAGAGCGCACAGCGAACUCGCAACAGCGGUUGAUUUUUGAUUUGGCUUUUUCUUUUUCAGACCAACAUCAAUAUCGAGCGUUCAGCGAGAGAGCGAUUGGUCCUGGGUUCGAGUCCCAGAACCCCUA